UGGGGAAUAUUGGACAAUGGGCGAAAGCCUGAUCCAGCCAUGCCGCGUGAGUGAUGAAGGCCCUAGGGUUGUAAAGCUCUUUCAACGGUGAAGAUAAUGACGGUAACCGUAGAAGAAGCCCCGGCUAACUUCGUGCCAGCAGCCGCGGUAAUACGAAGGGGGCUAGCGUUGUUCGGAAUUACUGGGCGUAAAGCGCACGUAGGCGGAUUGUUAAGUGAGGGGUGAAAUCCCAGGGCUCAACCCUGGAACUGCCUUUCAUACUGGCAAUCUAGAGUCCGGAAGAGGUGAGUGGAAUUCCGAGUGUAGAGGUGAAAUUCGUAGAUAUUCGGAGGAACACCAGUGGCGAAGGCGGCUCACUGGUCCGGUACUGACGCUGAGGUGCGAAAGCGUGGGGAGCAAACAGGAUUAGAGACCCCAGUAG
rnacentral:rRNA from 1 species